CACGUAGGGAGCGAGCGUUGUCCGGAUUCAUUGGGCGUAAAGAGCUCGUAGGCGGUUUGUCGCGUCUGCUGUGAAAACGCGAGGCUCAACCUCGCGCCUGCAGUGGGUACGGGCAGACUAGAGUGCGGUAGGGGAGAUUGGAAUUCCUGGUGUAGCGGUGGAAUGCGCAGAUAUCAGGAGGAACACCGAUGGCGAAGGCAGAUCUCUGGGCCGUAACUGACGCUGAGGAGCGAAAGCGUGGGGAGCGAACAGG
rnacentral:rRNA from 1 species